rnacentral:lncRNA from 1 species
AUGGGGUACAAGUGGAAAAGCUUUAUUUCAUAUCGGGUCAAAUUUGAUGUGCUGAUGACUGACCAUUGACCCUUAUUUUCCUCAUGACGAGACUUUUAUUCGAAACUAAAAACGACACUCAGCCCUAACAAGACACUAAGGGGGCCAAGAUACACAGGAACGCAAUAGCCUAAAUUAGGAGUGUUCAAAAAUCGCGCAACUCGCAGCUCACUCAAAGCACAUUCAGAAAAAGCUUGAAAAAAGUGCUAGCUCUCGGUUGCUACUUCUCGUUUAGUGGGAAUUUGCAACUGCUUCAAGUGUUAUAUGCUAAGAGGCAAACGAGUUUUCUUAGGGAAACUAGAAAUAUGUUUGCUACGAAGCCUCUGCCGCCAUCUAACUGUCUUAGUUAGUUCGUUCGUUGUUAGGCCGGAGGGUGUGGAGGUGCCACCGCGGCCACCUCAUCUCCCAUAGCGCCUUGAGGGCGCCACCACCCACACCGCUGUCUUCAAGGGGGGGGGGGGGGGGGGGCAUGGUGGCUUUAUCAAAAUGGUAACGAAGACUGAAGGGCUUUAUCGAUGAAGGAUUGGUUAAAUGGGGGGGGGGGGAGGGGGUGGGGCGCUAUAACUUGAAGGGGCUUUAUCCCACACCCUUCAAGGUAAGGGGAGAGGCCUUAAAGCCUCUGUGUGACGUGGCGUUGAUAAAGCCUCUCCCACACCCUCCAGCCUUACAACCAAGGAUGCUACAAGAAAUCAUCUUCCAAAGACCAUCGGCUUGUAUAAACUUUUUUUAUACAUAAUUAUAUAUUAUGUUUAUCAUAGUUCGUUUUUUUUUUUUUUUAAUAACUAAAAUGAUGUAAUUCAUUAUCAUUGAUUCAUACUUGCUAAGUUAUAUCAAAACAGAAGGUAGACGGACAACAAGCUGCGCUGACACCCCUUUCUGAAUUGCAAACCUUGAUCUACCAAAGAUGGUAUUCGACUACUUUUAUGUAUAAAAUAAUAUACUACAUCCGUCCCAUUAAAAGCGUCUUAUUUUGAAUUUUCAAAGUCUUUAUUUAUAAACUUU